ensembl:lncRNA
CGGAAAAGGGACUCGGAGGCCGGUGCUGUGGGGCUGCUUCUGCGGGUGACAGUGUUAAUACAUACUAUUGCCAUCCAAAUGAAGGUGCCAGUCCCUGCUGAGGAUGCUUCCAGAGCUGGUGUGGAUGUUCUUGACUACUCACUGCAGAUUUCCAACCCACUGCACAGUGCUCGGGGUGGUGCCACUCCCAGCCGCCUUCUCCCUUCCCCGGAUCCUGUUUGAAAGCAUCCCUGUCAUAGGAAGGAGAUGCUCUCCAUUGAGCUAAGGAGGGUUGUCAGCAGCCACUUAAAAUAGAAGUGGAAUGCCUCAGGACAUCUCAUUGUAUGAGUACUUGGCUCCACCAGGGUUGUGAACACAGAGAGUGAACCAUCAGGCCCUGAGAGAGAAGAAAGUGCUGCACAGUCUCCACGCUCAUGCUCUGGCCAAGAGAAGAGUACCAUUGCUCACCAGGAGAAUGGUGUCCCCCAAGCAGCAAGAUUGAGAUUGAAAGCAAAGGGCCGGGAUGAGAUGAGUCACCCAUCCUGCACCAUUUAGGCUGGGCACACCCCUCUGAUGGCUGAACAUCCUCAGCAACUCCUACGCUGAGCAGGUAGAUGUGUCCACCAGGACCUCUUGUUCUGAAAGAGGCUCAAAGCACAACAAUAACAAUCUUGUGAUGACCGGGGCAGUGCUCACCAUCACCUAAUUGCAGCAAGAAGGAAAGACAUGGGCGAUGCAGUGGUAUUAAUGAAGUACCAUCAGCACACGGAGCACUAGGAGCAUCAUUUUGGCAUGAGCAUCCAAGACACAUGAGUGCACGGGAGGGCGGCAGGCAUCUCGCUCACCUGGCAGGGCUACUGCCAAAACCCACAGGUCUAUCUGUGGGGAUGGUCUAUCCAUGGGCACAGCCUAUCUUUCAGUGACAUAUGGAACAAUUAAUGGACUUCCAGCUAAAAAAUUGGCACUGGCUGCAGACAAAUGUGUUUUUCCAGUCAUUAUCAUGUUUGCACUUGGAUGUAAUCCAAAGUGUGUAAACCUUCCUGGGGAUAUUAAUUGGCUUUUUAUUGCCUGUCCCUCAGUAUGGCGGGAGACUCGAGGCUGAUGCUGUUUGGCUUUUCAUAGUCUUGCUUGGUCUCAUAAUCUCAUGUGAAAAUUAUCUGGCAGAAGUUCUGCAAGUCAGAAUAGCAAAAGUAUAAUUAAUUCCCUGUGUGAAAUGAAAACAGCCGAUUUUCCACAGCGUCAGCUUGAACAUCAACAAGUCAUGGAAGCAAUAUGCAAAGAGCAGAUGAAAUUUGCACACAGAUAGCAAAUCUACUGAAUUUUUAUGGGGCAGCAAUGUUUCACAUGUAGCUGGAUAAAAAUGUCAAUGGAAUUCGGAAGCACUUCUCAUUCCCUCUAUGUAUUCAGCUGAAAAUCUGAAACAGCCUAUGAAGAGAGUCUCUGAUCAGUAUCUUCAUACAAGAAAUUCAUUGAGAAAAUAUACUCGUGUGAUGUUAUUUUUUUUUCUAGACACUACCAUUUUGCAGACAGGUCCUGUAUAGAUAGCAUGGAAUGGAAAUUAUUUUUCUCUAACUGAGGAUAGAGAGGCAUCGUGUGCUGGCUGCUGAGACCCGGGGAAGUCAAUGUAAGAGUCUUUGAAGCAGAAACCCCAGCCUGAUGGCAGCACGUGGGGAAAUUAUCAACUGCAGAGACCACUCCUGGGAGUAACGCCAGGAACCAGGAUGAGAAAACGAGAAGGGGGAGAAAAAAGCAGCCCCAUAUCCCUCUGUCAUGGGGAUUAUAUGGGCCACGAGUCCUGAGAAACUCCAUUCUGGUCCACCCACUGAGAUAAAGCUAUUUGUAAACACCAGAUUGUGCUAUCUUUCUUGCCACCCUGAUUGCUAAUUAAUCAGAAACAGAAGUGCCUGGGUGAGAAAUACAAAGUGUGGGGGGAAAUGAAUGGAAGCUUGCCCAAUAACUGCUGUCCCCAGUUAGGAAACAGUCCUCUGAAACCAACAGAAUGCACAGCAAAGCAAAAGGGGGCUUGCAAGACUCCAGGAUAUAUCACUCCUGAGUUCCAAGCAGCUCUUACGCUGUUUAUUACAGAAACGACAACUGUUGAGACUGAGAAGAGCCCCAGGGCUGCAGCCCUGACCCUGCCCACCAGCACUUUCAUUUCUCUUGCCGUGCUUCCCUCUCUUCCAUGGUCUUCCGUGUCUGAAGUAUAGGUCAAAUUUCAAGCCUCGUAAAUGUUAAGGCUCUCAACUGUACACUAAAGGGAUGCAAAGUACCCAUAAGAAAGCUGCCAUGAUGCGUGGCGGCUUUCUUACGGGUUCGCUUUGAACUGUCGCUGAUCAAUGAGGAUCCUUGGCUGCUUCCUGGCCUGCCAGGCCUGGUUCGCACCAGAAAGCUUUACCAGCAAAGGCGGCCUCCAGUC